rnacentral:lncRNA from 1 species
AUUGAAAAUAAUUUUGGGAAAAAAUGGUGAAAAUUUAGAUUCUAGGGGUAUUUUUGAAAGAAAAAUCAGAAUCGGGGGUCAAAAUACAAUUUAGAAAAAUUACGCCACGUUAGCUGCCCGGUCAGUAGCCCCAACCAACCAGGACGCACCGCGUGGCACAGACACUGAUGCGGGAAGCCAUGCGGAAGGGAGCCACGUGGGUGAUCCGCGUGCGCGUGAUCGAACGACUGAGAUUCGUUCUCGCAUGCACAG